rnacentral:rRNA from 1 species
GAUGAACGCUGGCGGCGUGCCUAAUACAUGCAAGUCGAACGAAACUUCUUUAUCACCGAGUGCUUGCACUCACCGAUAAAGAGUUGAGUGGCGAACGGGUGAGUAACACGUGGGCAACCUGCCCAAAAGAGGGGGAUAACACUUGGAAACAGGUGCUAAUACCGCAUAACCAUAGUUACCGCAUGGUAACUAUGUAAAAGGUGGCUAUACUACCGCUUUUGGAUGGGCCCGCGGCGCAUUAGCUAGUUGGUAGGGUAAAGGCUUACCAAGGCAAUGAUGCGCACCCGAAUUGGGGGGUUGGCGGGCCCCGUUGGGACUUGGACCCGGCCCCAACACCGACGGGGGGCAGCAGGAGGGAAUUUUACACAAGGGGGGAAACCCUGAAGGAGCACCGCCGCGUGGGUGAAGAAGGUCUUCGGAUUGGAAACCCCUUUUGUUGGAGAAAAAAGGGCGGGGGGGUAACUGUUCCCGUUUGGACGGUAUUUAACCAGAAAGCCACGGCUAACUACGU